rnacentral:misc_RNA from 1 species
AAGGAGUAGUGAUACUCCCACACUUGAAGUGGCGAGGCACACGGCGGCCGCAGCCCUCAACGAUGCGGAUGGCGCGGUUGACGUCGAUGAGCGGUGCCAGCUUGGGGGUGAUGAUGGGGCAGACACAGCCAAAGGGGGUCACUCGCAGCCUAUGGCAGCACUCCGCGCUCGGCAGACUGCCGUACAGCACCGCCUUGCAGGCGUUCACCGCCAGGUGGCGCUGCUGUUUGCAGGCCGAUGCGCUCAUCGCCGCACUUGCCGGCGGCACUGCACACAUCGCCAGAAAUAGCAGCAGGAUAAGGAGAAUUGGUAUGCGGGUUAAG